CCUACGGGGGGCAGCAGUGGGGAAUAUUGGACAAUGGGCGAAAGCCUGAUCCAGCGACGUCACGUGAAUGAUGAAGACCUUAGGGUUGUAAAGUUCUUUUAGUGGAGAAGAUAAUGACGGUAUCCACAGAAAAAGUCCCGGCUAACUUCGUGCCAACAGCCGCGGUAAUACGAAGGGGGCAAGCGUUACUCGGAAUUAUUGGGCGUAAAGCGUGCGCAGGCGGUUUUAUAAGUUUGAAAGUGAAAGCCUUUGGCUCAACCAAAGAAUUGCUUACAAAACUGUAAAACUAGAUAUUAGAGAGGAUAGAGGGAAUUCCUGAUGUAGGGGUGAAAUCCCUUAGAUAUCAAGAGGAAUAUCCAAGGCGAAGGCAUCUGUCUAACUAAAUACUGACGCUGUACACGAAAGCUGGGGAGCAAACAGGAUUAAAUACCUGGUAGUCCACGCAGUAAACGAUGAGUGCUAGAUAUUAGAACAUUGUGUUUUUAGUGUCGAAGCUAACGCAUUAACCACUCCGCUUGGGACUACGAUCGCAAGGUUAAAACUCAAAGGAAUUGACGGGGACCCGCACAAGCGGUGGAACAUGUGGUUUAAUUCGAUGCUACGUGAAAAACCUUACCAAGUCUUGACAUGAUAGUCGUAUGGCUAAGAAACUAGCUAGUCAGUUCGGUUGGACUAUCACAGGUGUUGCAUGGCUGUCGUCAGCUCGUGUCGUGAGAUGUUGGGUUAAGUCCCGCAACGAGCGCAACCCUUAUCUUUAAUUGCCAACAGGUAAUGCUGGGAACUUUAAAGAAACUGCCAAUGGAGAAUUGGAGGAAGGUGAGGAUGACGUCAAGUCAGCAUGGCCCUUAUGACUUGGGCUACACACGUGUUACAAUGGUAGUAACAAUAUGAUGCAACAGGGUGACYUAGAGCAAAUCUUCAAAAACUAUCUCAGUUCGGAUUGUACCCUGCAACUCGGGUGCAUGAAGUCGGAAUCGCUAGUAAUCGCAGAUCAGCACGCUGCGGUGAAUACGUUCCCGGGUCUUGUACACACCGCCCGUC
rnacentral:rRNA from 1 species